GCUACCGGAUUGUCAUGAACUGUGGACCGGCGAGCAGUUCUCGGGAACAAAGAUUGCAAGGACUCUUCACCAACCCAAAUGUCCUCCCAAAAACUAAUAUUCUCCCCAUUCCCGAGGGCAAAGCCCAUUCCUUCAACAAAAUUUGACUUCAUAGAAAUAAUCUCUUUCCAAAUUGCCAAGGCUCUAGACAUGGAGGAUUCCCUAAUACACCAUGCCUCCCACUGAAUCUUUUCCCUUUUUCAUUGUUUGGCAUGGAAUCCAUUGUUUCAGACAUGCCUUGGUUCUUGGAGAAGUUCUAAACUAGAAAUCAAUAUCUCUUUUUCAUUUGUGGUUUGUUGUUUUAGGUGAGAUGGAUGGCGAGGAACACAGUGAAAUUGAAUCUGCAGCAGAGUUGUUUUGGUGAAGCCACUCACAGAUGAACUUCUGUUGGAAGCGAUCCAGACAACCAGUUCUAACUGAAAAAUGUGCCUAAACAGUGAAGCACCACCAGUCAACAGUCCGGAGAUCGUAAAGAGUAGUAUCCAGAUGGCUUCCUGCACUUUUCUCCAAUGACAUAGUUGGUGAUGAAACUGUCUUGAUUUUGUUGAUAUGGUGGGCCACAAUGUGGAUGAUGAGACAACUGUUUGACUAUCCAAUUGUUGUGAAUUUUACUUUGUUGAGUGUAGACCACUGCUAUUGACUCUUCCUUUGGUAGGCCACUACUUGUGUGAGGGUUCCUGAAGUCCAAUCCUAUUCUCUCUGGGAUAUGGCUAGGAGUAUAUAUAUCCAUCUUCUCCUACUUGUAUUGGCCAUCUGAUUACUGGAUCAGACUGACUUCUGGGCCUGGGCAACAAAGGCUUCCUUCUACAAAUAUUCAGUCACCUGACAUAAAUGCACCGUAGUUCUGGAAAUGAGAAGGUAUUCCAUUCAUAUGAGUUUUUAGACCAUUUCCACCUUUUUGUCUGGAGAAUUCCACACUUGGAUGCUCAAACUACAUUUUGUUGUUGUUCAAUUUAUAUA